GUAGGUGAACCUGCGGAAGGAUCAUUACUGAGGUUAUUUUUUUCCCGGCGCAAGCUGGGAGAUGACCCGACCUAUUGUCAUUUGCACGUCUGAGGAGGAACGUUGGUUGUGUGGCGUUUGUGGCUUUUGUGACGGGAUCUAUCCGAGAGGGUGGAUGUCCGGAACGGCCCGCGCUGCCGCUGACGCCUCAGACGAACCUGAACUUCGGCGGAAGAGGUAGACUUGGAUCUGCCCGCCGCCGGCCGUAACAAUUUUACUCUACAACGAGAAUCUGAAGCCUGAUGUACAAAAACAAAAUGAAAAGCAAAACUUUCAACAACGGAUCUCUUGGCUCUG
rnacentral:misc_RNA from 1 species